UUGUCCUAUUUAGCUAGCUUGCUGUUGCUAGCUAAUUUGUCCUGCGAUAUAAACAUUGAGUUGUUAUUUUACUUGAACUGCACAAGGUCCUCUACUCCGACAAAUUCAUUCACACAUAAAACGGCCUACCGAAUCAUUUCUAUUCAUCUCUCCUUGUUCCAGGCUUUUUCAUCGUUGAAGUCAUAUGGUGAUUGCAUCUAAACUUUCAUAGUAUUACCACGACGCCCGGCAAAACAGUUCGUCUUUCAAUCCCCCACGUGGGUAUAGCCAAUGAGGAGAUGGCACGUGGGUACCUGCUUCUAUAAACUAAUGAGGAGAUGGGAGAGGCAGGACUUUCAACACGAUCUGCGCCAGAAAUAGAAAGGACUUCUAUUUUAGCCCUUGGCAUGCAGACGCUUGUUGGUGCACGUGAGCAGUAUCGCGCUUAAAGUCCUGCCUCUCCCAUCUCCCAUUUUAUGUUGCAUUUUAUUUCAUCAGAGGAACCAAAACGGCACAAAACAGGCUUCUUAUGAAGCUGCAGAUGUAAAGGACACAUUUUGCAUCAUGAUGAAUCUACAGCAGGCAAGUCAAGUAGUCUGCCGACGGUCAGGCGCAGAGGCUGAUGCUGCUUCCACUCUACGAUGGGUGCACUUCACCCAUCUUGGACUUCCUGGGGGACACUUUUAGACCAUGGUAAAGCUAGGACAAUAUGGCCACCCCAUCUCCAACUACAAGACCAGAACAUGAUAAAAUGCACAAUGACUCCAGAAGACCCCCCCCCCCCCCCCCCCCCCCCCCUCCCCACCCACCCUCAGUGCGACCAUCAGUCCAAGCCCCAAUGGACCAGGCACAAAGUCGGUCAAGUCCCGAUGGAGAGACACCCCAGUCCUCCAGAAGGAGAUUCCAUCCCAGUGGGACUAAUCAGGCAAAGAAGGAGGUAUAUGCCAAAGUUCUUGCUUACCUACGUGAACCAGCACCCACAGCCACAGAGUCUGAUCCAUCUGCAGUUUUUGGGAUGCUACCAAGACUUCACUUGAUGGCCAAAAGUGGACAUCCAGCAACUGCUGCUAAAGUAUCUUUUUCAAGAUUUAAACAGUGAGUGAGAAUUGAGAGAGCAGAGAUAUUGCAAUGGUGAAUUAUGUUUGUAUGUAUUCAUUGUGCAUACAUUAUUAAAUCGAUUAACCUACA